GUGAGGCAAGAUUCAGAGGCCCCCAGUUCACUGUUUCCCACUGAGGCUCCAGCAGUGCAAUACAAACCCUUCCUAAUUUGUACAGGGAAGUCCAUUGGAUGGGAAAGGACCAUACUGCCGUGAGGCAGUGCUCGGUAUUUAUUGCCAAACAGGGCGAAACCUAGUCUCCACUUGGAUAAGAUCUGCAGGGGGUGGAAGUGUCCUGUGGGUGCGCAAGGCACAGCGUGGAAAGGCAGACUCACCCAUCAGAGGCUCCCGAUCCCCAGAGGCUGCCUCUGUCUCUCGCGGGAUCUCUAGUGUGUGUCUGCCCCUCUCUCGGGAUCUCAGGGCAUCAGGACUGGAGAUCUCACAAGAGCUGAUGCCCAGCUCACCCCCUUACAACUCUUAGCAGAUGAAGAAACUAAACACCAGGGAGAGGGGGUGCUUUCCUGCAGUUGUCGCUUGGUCGAGCUUGAUGCUAUUGGACAGAGAAGCAAAGGAAGACCUUCUCCACCCUUCUCAGUGGCUCACAGGAAAAGAGAUCGGGACCUGCUCCCAGGUAGGAACAGUGAGAUUCAUGAAGUGAGAACAUAGAUUUUUGAUUUGAAAUGUUUCUUCUUUUCUAAAGUGGUCAAAUCAGACUCUAAAUUGCUGAAAAAAACUGAAGAUGAGAGGCAGAAUGACAAAAAGACCCUGUAGAAGGUCCUGGAGCUGAAUUGACCCCAGCCCCCCAGGGAGACAGGUUUAUUGAUUAAAGUUGAGUCUCCUACAAUGAACAAUGAAAGAAAAGGGCCUUCAUCAAGGAGAAAAGGAAGGAAAUAGAAUUCAGAGAACUGGCCCAGGACCCUUGCAACACCUGGCAAGUACAUCAUCUCAUUGAGCAAUGAAGAAGGACAUGGUGGCCCUCCUAUAAUUAAUCACAGUUCAUUAUGAUGUCAUAGUCAACAUAACCAAGUGCUUAUGAUAAACCUGACUCUGUGCUUUAUGGUCUUGACUCAUUCAAUCUGUUAAUCACAUUAACUGGAACAACUCCAAAAAGUGGGAGGAAGAAAGUGAGGCCCAUAGGCAUGCACUGACAUGGGGUCACACAGCUGCUGAGAGCGGAGAGCUGGGGCUUGAACCCACAUAGUCCUUCCGUAAUUAUCUACUCCACUACCCACCUCCUCACUUGAGUGGAUUCUGCCAUGUGGGCCUCCCAGGUUUAGGUUAUGACCUGGACACUGGAGAAACUGAACUGAGACUCAGCUGGGCACAGGCCCAACAGCACGGCUGAGUGGAGUGAAAAGCAGGCUUGCUGGGGUGAAGGAUGACCAGAGCAGCUUCCCACCUGGAUCCCUCUGUCUCCUGUCUUUCUCUCAUCAUGGCCACAGGCAGCCUGUGGAAGAGCAUUACCAGAAAAUCAGGAAAGAAAGAGACAGCCCUCUGUUAAAGAGAAACCCAAAGGCCCCAGAUGACAUCUCCUGUACUAAAGCCUCUGCUGACAGAUCUGACAACUAUAGUUUGCCCUUCCCCAGGAAGGUAAUGGUACUAAGCCAGUCUGGAAUUUCCUGGUCAGCACCAAUGAGAUCAUCUAUCACGGGGCCAUCUCCAUUUCCCCCACCAAGGGAUGAAGAGGUAACCUGCAUGAUAGACCUUCAUCCCCUGCCUCUGCCCCCAAGAAGGUGACCUGGUCUGAAACAAUCCUUUCUUGUCUUUUGCUAAAGAGCUUCCUUGCCUCACCCUCCUCCUGCCUAUAAAAACCAUCCAUUUUGUGUAAUUCCUCUGAGCAUCCUCUACUC
ensembl:lncRNA